GACGAACGCUGGCGGCGUGCCUAAUACAUGCAAGUCGAACGAAGCUGUUUUAACUGGUGCUUGCACCGACUUAAACAACUGAGUGGCGAACGGGUGUGUAACACGUGGGUAACCUGCCCCAAAGCGGGGGAUAACAUUUGGAAACAGAUGCUAAUACCGCAUAACCACAGAAACCACAUGGUUUCUGUGUCAAAGAUGGUUUCGGCUAUCACUUUGGGAUGGACCCGCGGCGUAUUAGCUAGUUGGUAAGGUAAUGGCUUACCAAGGCAAUGAUAGGUAGCUGAACUGAGAGGUUGAUCAGCCACAUUGGGAGUGAGACACGGCCCAAACUCCUACGGGAGGCAGCAGUAGGGAAUCUUCCACAAUGGACGAAAGUCUGAUGGAGCAACGCCGCGUGAGUGAAGAAGGUUUUCGGAUCGUAAAACUCUGUUGUCAGAGAAGAACGUGGGCGAGAGUAACUGUUCGUGCAGUGACGGUAUCUGGCCAGAAAGCCACGGCUAACUACGUGCCAGCAGCCGCCGUAA
rnacentral:rRNA from 1 species